GAUAGUGAAUUGUGAAGGAUUUGAGAAUGUUUGGGAUAACAUGAGCUGAGAUAUAAUGUUUUACUCGAUGAGAUCCAUGUUACUGUGUAAAUGCUUUCGGUAUGCACAAACGUGUUCAUAAUUACUUGUAGGUUUAAGAAGUGUGUGUUGCAUUGCUUGAUAGAACAUGUAGUUUUAAAAAGAGAAACAUGUGGAAAGUGUUGCAGACUGUAUGAGCCAUUGACAUGCAAAUUUUGGGAAAACAUGGG
rnacentral:lncRNA from 1 species